GAUGAACGCUGGCGGCGUGCCUAAUACAUGCAAGUAGAACGCUGAAGGAAGGAGCUUGCUCUUUCCGGAUGAGUUGCGAACGGGUGAGUAACGCGUAGGUAACCUGCCUGGUAGCGGGGGAUAACUAUUGGAAACGAUAGCUAAUACCGCAUAACAGUAGAUGUUGCAUGAUAUCUACUUAAAAGGUGCAAUUGCACCACUACCAGAUGGACCUGCGUUGUAUUAGCUAGUUGGUGAGGUAACGGCUCACCAAGGCGACGAUACAUAGCCGACCUGAGAGGGUGAUCGGCCACACUGGGACUGAGACACGGCCCAGACUCCUACGGGAGGCAGCAGUAGGGAAUCUUCGGCAAUGGACGGAAGUCUGACCGAGCAACGCCGCGGGAGUGAAGAAGGGUUUCGGAUCGUAAAGCUCGGUUGUAAGAGAAGAACGAGUGUGAGAGUGGAAAGUUCACACUGUGACGGUAGCUUACCAGAAAGGGACGGCUAACUACGUG
rnacentral:rRNA from 1 species